GUGCCUUUAGCUCAGUUGGUUAGAGCGUCGGAUUGUGGUUCCGAAGGUCAAGGGUUCGAGACCCCUAAGGCACC
rnacentral:tRNA from 1 species